rnacentral:rRNA from 1 species
CGAAAGCCUGACGGAGCAACGCCGCGUGCGGGAGGACGGCCUGUGGGUUGUAAACCGCUUUUCUCAGGGAAGAAGAUCUGACGGUACCUGAGGAAUCAGCAUCGGCCAACUCCGUGCCAGCAGCCGCGGUAAUACGGAGGAGGCAAGCGUUAUCCGGAAUGAUUGGGCGUAAAGCGUUCGUAGGUGGCAAUUCAAGUCUGCUGUCAAAGACAGUAGCUCAACUACUGCAAGGCAGUGGAAACUGAAUAGCUAGAGUGCGGUAGGGGUAGAGGGAAUUCCCAGUGUAGCGGUGAAAUGCGUAGAUAUUGGGAAGAACACCAGUGGCGAAGGCGCUCUGCUGGGCCGCAACUGACACUGAGGGACGAAAGCUAGGGGAGCG